rnacentral:rRNA from 1 species
UACGUAGGUGGAAAGCGUUAUCCGGAAUUAUUGGGCGUAAAGAGUGAGCAGGCGGCAUGAUAAGUUCGAAGUGAAAGCGUGGGGCUCAACCCCAUACAGCUCCGAAAACUGUCAAGCUAGAGUGCGAGAGAGGUAAGCGGAAUUCCAUGUGUAGCGGUGAAAUGCGUAGAUAUAUGGAGGAACACCAGUGGCGAAGGCGGCUUACUAGCUCGGUACUGACGCUCAGUCACGAAAGCGUGGGGAGCAAAUA